GGAUGUGAGGGCGAUCUGGCUGCGACAUCUGUCACCCCAUUGAUCGCCAGGGUUGAUUCAGCUGAUCUGGCUGGCUAGGCGGGUGUCCCCUUCCUCCCUCACCGCUCCAUGUGCGUCCCUCCCGAAGCUGUGCGCUCGAAGAGGACAACCUUCCCCGAUAGAGGAGGACCGUUCUUCGGUCAAGGGUAUACGAGUAGCUGCGCUCCCCUGCUAGAACCUCCAAACAAGCUCUCAAGUCCAAGAAACUGAGUGUGACCCUUUCUCCCCAACACUUUCAUGCCCUGCAAGCAAAAUCUUCAGUUGCAUACAUGU
rnacentral:snRNA from 1 species